AUUUACCAGCUGAUUUGGGUUUGGUUUCGGUCUUCGGAAUAUGAAAUUGUUCCUUGAUUUCCAAAUAAGCCAAAGGACAGUCACAAGUAGCUCAAAAGUGAAGGAUUGGACUAGACUUGUUUCGUCCAUGGACAGAGGAGAAAAAGAUGCUCAAUAGUUUCGGGAUGUUGGUGACAUAGCUCACACAUCGGUUCUGGUACAAUACUUCUUCUGAUUAGAUUUACCUUUGUUGGUAAUGCAUUUUGACAUAUCGCCCAUAGGAAAAAUCUGAUCUUCGGUUCUGUGUUUGCCUUCCAAAUUUUUGUCCACAAUGCUUCGGGGGUUUGAUAUGAAGAAGAAGCCUGAUUUGGGUUUGGUUUCAUUGCAAGGUCUCUGUUUCUAUUAUAGCCACUCUUGACUGUAUAGGAUCCUUAUUUGGUAUUUAACCAAACCAAUUUGUCAUCAGUGUCAUGUGACCUCAGUGGGAUUGCAAGAAUUUCAUCGACAAGCUGUUCAUCAAAAAGCUGAUGUAGCUUUGAUUCAUUCCACUUCGACUCCUCCUGCAAAAUUAACUCAGCUACCCUCUUAGGCUCCUCACGAUUAGGUGGACCCCCAAUAACUCCCCUAUGAAGCCAUUUGUCUUCUCUAAUGUUAAUUUGUUCCCCAUUACCCACAGACCACAUAAUGGAAGGAUGGAUAGAUGCUCUCCCCAUCAGAACACUAAGCCACCCCCAUGGGGGACGAGUCCCUUUCCCUGCAUGCCAGAAAUCACAAUUAGGGAAAUACAGCCCUUUCAAUACUUGAGUCCAUAAUGAGGAAGGGUUUUGGGUAAUUCGCCAUGCUUGUUUUCCCAACAUAGACCCAUUAAAAGUCAUUAGAUCCCUGAAUCCAAGUCCUCCACUAUCCUUUCUUCGUUUCAGAACAUCCCAUUUCCUCCAAUGGAGUCCAGCUUGUGUUUCACCAUUUUUCCACCAAAAAGACGCAAUUUUCUUUUCAAUUGCCCUGCAAAUGGAGACGGGGAUUUUAAAGAUAGACAUAGCAUAUUGGGGUAGUGCUUGCACCACUGCUUUGAUGAGUAUUUCUUUUCCAGCUUUUGACAUCAGAUUUCCCUUCCAACCUACUAGUUUCGUGUUUACUCUUGCUAGUAUCCAGGCAAACAUAUGUUUUUUUGAUGCCCCCCAGUCUGAAGGGAUCCCUAGGUACUUCCCCUUCUUCUCUAAUUCUGGAACUCUAAGCUCAUAUGACAUAAUCUGUCUCAAACUCAGUGGACAAUCCUUGCUGAAAUAUACCCCUGACUUGUUUAAGUUUAUUGAUUGCCCAGACGCAAAACAGUAUUGAUUCAAAACAGCUGCAACUUUUUGGCAUUCCAUAAUCGUUCCAUCGAGGAAAAAGAUUGAGUCGUCUGCAAACAAGAGGUGAGAUAGCGUGGGGCAGAAUCUAUUCAGCUUGAUCCCCUUUAUACUUCCGUCCUCCAUUGCCUUUUUCAUCAAAAAAGAUAAUACAUUACCCACCAAGAUGAACAAAUAGGGGGAGAGGGGAUCACCUUGUCUAAUUCCUCUUGCUGGUUGAAAAUAGGGUAGAGGCUCUCCAUUUAGCUUGACACUAAAGGACACAGUAGAGACACAUUGCAUAAUCCACUUCACCCAUUGAUCACUGAAACCCAUCUUCCCCAUGCAAGCUUCCAAAAAAUCCCAUUCAACUCUGUCAUAAGCUUUUUGCAUAUCAAGUUUAAGCACUGCUUGAAACUUUGUUUUUCUCUUUCUGAUUCUCAACUGAUGUAGCACCUCUUGGACAAUUAAGAUGUUAUCCUGAAUUUGUCUUCCACUCACGAAGGCACUUUGCUCAAUAGAAAUUAAGUUUGGCAAG